UAGGGAAUCUUCCACAAUGGACGAAAGUCUGAUGGAGCAACGCCGCGUGAGUGAUGAAGGGUUUCGGCUCGUAAAACUCUGUUGUUGGAGAAGAACGGUGUCAGAGUAACUGUUGACAUCGUGACGGUAUCCAACCAGAAAGCCACGGCUAACUACGUGCCAGCAGCCGCGGUAAUACGUAGGUGGCAAGCGUUGUCCGGAUUAUUGGGCGUAAAGCGAGCGCAGGCGGUUUUUUAGGUCUGAUGUGAAAGCCUUCGGCUUAACCGGAGAAGUGCAUCGGAAACCGGGAGACUUGAGUGCAGAAGAGGACAGUGGAACUCCAUGUGUAGCGGUGAAAUGCGUAGAUAUAUGGAAGAACACCAGUGGCGAAGGCGGCUGUCUGGUCUGCAACUGACGCUGAGGCUCGAAAGCAUGGGUAGCGAACAGGAUUAGAUACCCUUGGUGAGUC
rnacentral:rRNA from 1 species